rnacentral:ncRNA from 15 species
GGGCUAUUAGCUCAGUUGGUUAGAGCGUUGCUUUGAUAAGGCAAAAGUCGAAAGUUCAAAUCUUUCAUAGCCCA